CAGUAGCCACGGGAAUACAGAGGGUGCAAGCGUUAAUCGGAAUUACUGGGCGUAAAGCGCGCGUAGGUGGUUUGUUAAGUUGGAUGUGAAAUCCCCGGGCUCAACCUGGGAACUGCAUCCAAAACUGGCAAGCUAGAGUAUGGUAGAGGGUGGUGGAAUUUCCUGUGUAGCGGUGAAAUGCGUAGAUAUAGGAAGGAACACCAGUGGCGAAGGCGACCACCUGGACUGAUACUGACACUGAGGUGCGAAAGCGUGGGGAGCAAACAGGAUUAGAUACCCCAGUAGUCCCUGUCUCUUAUAC
rnacentral:rRNA from 1 species